rnacentral:rRNA from 1 species
CCUACGGGUGGCAGCAGUCGAGAAUCAUUCACAAUGGGGGAAACCCUGAUGGUGCGACGCCGCGUGGGGGAAUGAAGGUCUUCGGAUUGUAAACCCCUGUCAUGUGGGAGCAAAUUAAAAAGAUCGUACCACACGAGGAAGAGACUGCUAACUCUGUGCCAGCAGCCGCGGUAAUACAGAGGUCUCAAGCGUUGUUCGGAAUCACUGGGCGUAAAGCGUGCGUAGGCUGUUUCGUAAGUCGUGUGUGAAAGGCGCGGGCUCAACCCGCGGACGGCACAUGAUACUGCGAGACUAGAGUAAUGGAGGGGGAACCGGAAUUCUCGGUGUAGCAGUGAAAUGCGUAGAUAUCGAGAGGAACACUCGUGGCGAAGGCGGGUUCCUGGACAUUAACUGACGCUGAGGCACGAAGGCCAGGGGAGCGAAAGGGAUUAGAUACCCUUGUAGUC